ACGCUGGCGGCGUGCUUAACACAUGCAAGUCGAACGCUGAAGCCCAGCUUGCUGGGUGGAUGAGUGGCGAACGGGUGAGUAACACGUGAGUAACCUGCCCCCUUCUUUGGGAUAACGCCCGGAAACGGGUGCUAAUACUGGAUAUUCACUGAUCUUCGCAUGGGGGUUGGUGGAAAGGCUUUUUCUGGUGGGGGAUGGGCUCGCGGCCUAUCAGCUUGUUGGUGGGGUGAUGGCCUACCAAGGCUUUGACGGGUAGCCGGCCUGAGAGGGUGACCGGUCACAUUGGGACUGAGAUACGGCCCAGACUCCUACGGGAGGCAGCAGUGGGGAAUAUUGCACAAUGGGCGAAAGCCUGAUGCAGCGACGCCGCGUGAGGGAUGACGGCCUUCGGGUUGUAAACCUCUUUCGCUCAUGGUCAAGCCGCAGCUUUGGGUUGUGGUGAGGGUAGUGGGUAAAGAAGCGCCGGCUAACUACGUGCCAGCAGCCGCGGUAAUACGUAGGGCGCGAGCGUUGUCCGGAAUUAUUGGGCGUAAAGGGCUUGUAGGCGGUUGGUCGCGUCUGCCGUGAAAUCCUCUGGCUUAACUGGGGGCGUGCGGUGGGUACGGGCUGACUUGAGUGCGGUAGGGGAGACUGGAACUCCUGGUGUAGCGGUGGAAUGCGCAGAUAUCAGGAAGAACACCGGUGGCGAAGGCGGGUCUCUGGGCCGUUACUGACGCUGAGGAGCGAAAGCGUGGGGAGCGAACAGGAUUAGAUACCCUGGUAGUCCACGCUGUAAACGUUGGGCACUAGGUGUGGGGGCCACCCGUGGUUUCUGCGCCGUAGCUAACGCUUUAAGUGCCCCGCCUGGGGAGUACGGCCGCAAGGCUAAAACUCAAAGGAAUUGACGGGGGCCCCGCACAAGCG
rnacentral:rRNA from 1 species